UGAAUACGAGAUGCUACGGCGUCGAAGCAGUCUAUGUCAUACUUCCAAGAAAAGCUUGCACUGUCAUAAACAAAUAAUGCCUGUACCAUAACCGACACAGGUGGGUAGGUAGAGUAUACUAAGGGGCGCGAGAUAACUCUCUCUAAGGAACUCGGCAAAAUGACUCCGUAACUUCGGGAGAAGGAGUGCCUUAUUUUAUAAGGUUGCAAUAACAAGAUCCAAGCAACUGUUUACCAAAAACACAGGUCUCCGCUAAGUCGUAAGACGAUGUAUGGGGGCUGACGCCUGCCCAGUGCCAGAAGGUUAAAGAAGUUGGUUAGCAUCCGCGAAGCUGAUAACUGAAGCCCUGGUGAACGGCGGCCGUAACAAUAACGGUCCUAAGGUAGCGAAAUUCCUUGUCGGGUAAGUUCCGACCCGCACGAAAGGCGUAAUGAUUUGGAUACUGUCUCAGAGAGGGGCUCGGUGAAAUAGACUUGUCUGUGAAGAUGCGGACUACCUGCACCAGGACAGAAAGACCCUAUGAAGCUUUACUGUAACUUGAAAUUGAAAUUGGACUUUACUUGCGCAGUAUAGGUGGGAGGCGUUGAGAAUAUUCUUGCGGGAAUGUUGGAGCCAUCAGUGAGAUACCACUCUUGUAAUGUUAGAUUUCUAACUUGUAUCAUUAUCUGGUCAAAGGACAGUUUCAGGCGGGCAGUUUGACUGGGGCGGUCGCCUCCCAAACGGUAACGGAGGCGCACAAAGGUUUCCUCUGAACGGGUAGAAAUCGUAUCUAGAGUGUAAAGGCAUAAGGAAGCUUGACUGUGAGACCUACAAGUCGAGCAGGGACGAAAGUCGGUCUUAGUGAUCUGACGGUGCUGAGUGGAAAGGCCGUCACUCAACGGAUAAAAGUUACUCUAAGGAUAACAGGCUGAUCUCCCCCAAGAGUUCACAUCGACGGGGAGGUUUGGCACCUCGAUGUCGGCUCAUCGCAUCCUGGGGCGGUAGUACGUCCCAAGGGUUGGGCUGUUCGCCCAUGAAAGCGGUACGCGAGCUGGGUUCAGAACGUCGUGAGACAGUUCGGUCCAUAUCCGGUGUAGGCGUUAGAAUAUUGAGAGGAGCCUUCUUUAGUACGAGAGGACCGAGAAGGACAUACCUCUGGUGUACCAGUUAUCGUGCCAACGGUAAACGCUGGGUAGCUAUGUAUGGAGUGGAUAACCGCUGAAAGCAUCUAAGUGGGAAGCCCACCUCAAGAUAAG
rnacentral:rRNA from 1 species